AGCCCUGGAAACGGGGUCUAAUACCGGAUACCACUGCGGGAGGCAUCUCCUGCGGUUGAAAGCUCCGGCGGUGAAGGAUGAGCCCGCGGCCUAUCAGCUUGUUGGUGGGGUAAUGGCCCACCAAGGCGACGACGGGUAGCCGGCCUGAGAGGGCGACCGGCCACACUGGGACUGAGACACGGCCCAGACUCCUACGGGAGGCAGCAGUGGGGAAUAUUGCACAAUGGGCGAAAGCCUGAUGCAGCGACGCCGCGUGAGGGAUGACGGCCUUCGGGUUGUAAACCUCUUUCAGCAGGGAAGAAGCGAAAGUGACGGUACCUGCAGAAGAAGCGCCGGCUAACUACGUGCCAGCAGCCGCGGUAAUACGUAGGGCGCAAGCGUUGUCCGGAAUUAUUGGGCGUAAAGAGCUCGUAGGCGGCUUGUCACGUCGGAUGUGAAAGCCCGAGGCUUAACCUCGGGUCUGCAUUCGAUACGGGCUAGCUAGAGUGUGGUAGGGGAGAUCGGAAUUCCUGGUGUAGCGGUGAAAUGCGCAGAUAUCAGGAGGAACACCGGUGGCGAAGGCGGAUCUCUGGGCCAUUACUGACGCUGAGGAGCGAAAGCGUGGGGAGCGAACAGGAUUAGAUACCCUGGUAGUCCACGCCGUAAACGUUGGGAACUAGGUGUUGGCGACAUUCCACGUCGUCGGUGCCGCAGCUAACGCAUUAAGUUCCCCGCCUGGGGAGUACGGCCGCAAGGCUAAAACUCAAAGGAAUUGA
rnacentral:rRNA from 1 species